UUUAACCUGAGAGACACCCCUCCAUUCCCGUGGCCCCAAACCCUGGCCCAAGCUGCUGGGAUGCUGGGGGAGAAGUCGACUCCCAGAGGGGGAAGCUGCCCUUGAAGUUGCCUUUCCCCCGUGGCAGGGUGAGUGGGCCGCCCUAGUCCGGGCUGGUUCCGAGCUGUUAACCCCCCUUCUCCUGCAGCCUCCAGCAUCAUCAUGGCUGCCCCGCGCCUCCAAGUGCGGAUCAUCUUCUGUGGCAGUUGAGGAUACAGAAGCCGGUUCCUGCAGCUGCAGGAGUUCCUAGAGAAACGCUUCCCAAAGCAGCUGGAGAUUACAGGGGAAAUGGCUCCCAGUUCUGGGGCCUUCGAGAUUCUUCUUCCGGACAGCGGCCGGGUCCUGCACUCCAAGAUCAAUGGCGAUGGCUACGUGGACAGUAAUGCCAAAGUGCAGCGCAUCUGUGAAGGCAUCAGCCAGGUCCUGAAACAGUAGCAAGCAGGGAUUGGGGUGCUAUGCUUUCCAGGGCAGCACAUGACGGGAUCAGCCAAAAGGGAGUCACAGCCCAGGCUAGUCCCUGACCUCCCUCCCGGUGCUCCAAUCCCUGGGGCUGUUGCCAAGCAAUAAAGAGCAACAUCCUGGCAGGCAGCUCCAUGCUAUUUAUUUAC